rnacentral:lncRNA from 1 species
AAAGGAGUAGGUUCAGUAAGACCCCUUUUUGGCCCCAAAAUAUAGCAGUUUUACAAAAUUGUGAAAAUGUAAUCUUUUAGCUAUUUACUGGAAAGUAUAAUGCUUCUGCUUCAUAAAUAUGGACUGUUUUUGACAAUACAAUGCACAAAUAUCGGGUACUAGCAUCAUAAAGUCAUGCUAUAUUACUGAAAUCUUCACAAUUUUAGCAUUUUAGCUAAAUUUUAGACGGUUUCCGUCUUAAGUGAAAGUGGCCUCAUUCGUGUUCAUUCAUAAUAUUGAAAUCUAAGUUGUAUUUGGUGAUAAUACAUAACAUAUAUAAAGGUUGAGGAUGAACACGGAUGCGGA